AAAGACUGCGUGGCUGGAGCAGAGUAGGAUGAGGAAGAAAAGAAGAAGGGAAGAUCAGAGAGCUAACGGAGGGAGGAGGAGAGUACACAGAGGUCUUUAAAGGCCAUAUAAGAACUUGGACUUUUACUCUGAGACUGAGGGAUUGGAGACAAAGGCGCUAGAAUGCUGGAGAAGCACUUUUGCAGAAAUGCUGGUGAGAAGCACCAAAUGCUACCCUCCCGUCUCCCCAGCUGCUUUCAUUUCUCUGGAGCUGAAACAAAGAUCAGCAAUGUGGGAGACAGGAGCUUCACCUUCAGGCUGGAUUCCAUGAUGGAGAAAACACAUGGAGCAGACCAGCAGUUAUUUGCAGCUAUCAUGUGAGUGGGAAACAGUCUUCCAAGGCUACUUGCUAUACAAACAUCCUUGAAAGAUAGCCCAGAAGAAAGGACAGCCAGUGCCUCUGCUCACAACACAUGCAAAAAUGGUUACAGCCAGGAUUGAGAACCCCUAGCCUGUGCAAUGGAAUAUGCUGCCAUGACACAGUCACAAGGCACCAUCUUGGAAAGAGGGAAUGGGACCCUCACCAGAUACAAAUGCCAGUGCCCUGAUCUUGGACUUCCCAGCCUCCA
rnacentral:lncRNA from 10 species